AUAUAGGUUAAGUUAUUAAGGGCGCAUGGUGGAUGCCUUGGCACUAGGAGCCGAUGAAGGACGUGACUAACUGCGAUAAGCUUCGGGGAGUUGUAAGUAAACUGUGAUCCGGAGAUUUCCGAAUGGGGAAACCCAGCAGGAGUAAAGACCUGUUAUCACUGAGUGAAUACAUAGCUCAGUUGAAGGUAGACGUGGGGAACUGAAACAUCUAAGUACCCAUAGGAAGAGAAAGAAAAUUCGAUUCCCUGAGUAGCGGCGAGCGAAAAGGGAACAGCCCAAACCAGAGAGCUUGCUCUCUGGGGUUGUAGGACUGGACAUUUGAGUUACCAAGAAACGAAGUAGUUGAAUGAUUUGGGAAGAUCAGCCAGAGAAGGUGAUAGCCCUGUAAGCGAAACUUCGUUUCCUCAGCCCAGUAUCCUGAGUACGGCGGAACACGUGAAACUCCGUCGGAAUCCGGGAGGACCAUCUCCCAAGGCUAAAU
rnacentral:rRNA from 2 species